rnacentral:rRNA from 1 species
GAUGAACGCUGGCGGCGUGCCUAAUACAUGCAAGUCGAGCGAACAGACGAGGAGCUUGCUCCUCUGACGUUAGCGGCGGACGGGUGAGUAACACGUGGAUAACCUACCUAUAAGACUGGGAUAACUUCGGGAAACCGGAGCUAAUACGGGCUAAUAUAUUGCACCGCAUGGUUCAAUAGUGAAAGACGGUUUUGCUGUCACUUAUAGAUGGAUCAGCGCCGCAUUAGCUAGUUGGUAAGGUAGCGGCUUACCAAGGCAACGAUGCGUAGCCGACCUGAGAGGGUGAUCGGCAGCACUAGUGCGGAGACGCGGUCCAGCAUCGUGCGGGAGGCAGCAGUAGGGAAUCUUCCGGAAGGGGCGGAAGCGUGACGGAGCAACGCCGCGUGAGUGAUGAGGAUCUUCGGAUCGUAAAACUCUGUUAUUAGGGAAGAACAAAUGUGUAAGUAACUAUGCACGUCUUGACGGUACCUAAUCAGAAAGCCACGGCUAACUACGUG